GCUCAGAAGCAGAGCUGGGGUGUCUCCACCAUGGCCUGGACCCUUCUCCUCCUCGGCCUCCUCGCUCACUGCACAGGGUCCUGGGCGCAGUCCAGGCUGACGCAGGAAGGCUCCAUGUCAGGUUCUGUGGGACAGACGGUCACCCACUCCUGCACCGGAAAUGGCAACAACGUUGGAGCUAAUAUCGUGAACUGGUACCAACAGAUUUUUCACGGGGCCCCCAAAACGGCGAUGCUCGCAGGUUCUCUACCCUCAGGGAUCCCAGACCUGUGCUCUGGCUCCACGUCUGUCAACACGGCCUCUCUGACCAUCUCCAGGCUCCAGCCUGAGGACAAGGCUGAUUAUUACUGUUCAACGUGGGAUGACAGCAUCAGUGGUAACACAGCGCAUCUGACCCACCGGGAACUGAGACAAAAACCCACCCCCUCCCCCCGUGAUCACCCCCGUGACUGCCUGUGA